GACGUAGGGGGCCAGCGUUGUUCGGAAUUACUGGGUGUAAAGGGUUCGUAGGCGGUGCGGCAAGUCGGGAGUGAAAUCUCUGGGCUCAACCCAGAGGCUGCUUCCGAAACUGCUGUGCUUGAGUGUGGGAGAGGCGCGUGGAAUUGCAGGUGUAGCGGUGAAAUGCGUAGAUAUCAGGAGGAACACCGGUGGCGAAGGCGGGUCUCUGGGCCGAUACUGACGCUGAGGAGCGAAAGCGUGGGGAGCGAACAGG
rnacentral:rRNA from 1 species